GGGCGCGUAGCUCAGGGGUAGAGCGCUACACUGACACUGUAGAGGUCGGUGGUUCGAAACCACCCGUGCCUACCA
rnacentral:tRNA from 1 species